rnacentral:misc_RNA from 1 species
GUGCUAUAUUUAGCACACGACAAAUUUCUGCCCUGAGGCAAUUAGCGUCGUGUUAACGGCGGAGGAAAUAAAGCGUGUUUAAACAUGAACAUGACGAUUACCUCGCGACAAUGCGCGUGUUGUAACAUUAUUGGGAUGACAAUCGUCACAAGGGGAGAUUGCUGCCCACCGGUUCGGCAAGCAGCGCAGGAAUAGCGUGCGUUAACUUGCCAGAUGAUUUACGUAAAAGUGACUGUCCAACAUAUUACUCCUGCAUGAAUUUGCGCUUAUUAUAGUCAGUCAAUAUGUUCUGUAAAGUGCAAAGGCGGGGAU